UGUUUCGUACCUGGGGAUGGGCUGCAUCCCUGUGCCUGUGUGGGACAGCCCUGAGGCCGCCGGGCCCCGCACAAUGCAAAGAAUACUUUCUGCCACCUGACUGCCUGCACACGGGGAGCUGAAGGAGAACCUUAGGUGCUGAGCCCCGGCCAGGCCCUCUGUCAGCAAUCAAACAGCCCGGACUGGCUCACUGCCCUCUGAGGGGUGGGGGGACUGUGGCCCUUCUCAACAAGUUGUGGGGUGGCAUCUGGUGACACUGUUCUCUGUAUCCUUGCGCUGCCAGGAUCUGACGUGUGUCUGUGUUAAUGCCAGCUUAAAGGAUGAAGCAGAUGAGUGAACCUGAAGAGCUGCUGAAGGUCCCCAGGAGCUCUCUGCUGGAGACAGGUGGAGCCCAGGCAGAGACAAGCAGGUCGGCUUUGUAGAUGUCUUUGUAGCCCACUGACCUGGGCUGUGGCUGUGAAUCCCACCUGAAAUCCAGAAACUUCUCAUUUCUUGGGUAAAAGCUCUUCUGUUACGAAUGAUCACCGCUGAGGGGAACCUCAGGCUGCCCUGCAUUCCCCAUUCUCCGAUGCCAUUAUUGUACCAUACAAGUGCCAAAGAGCAACUAUUAAUUAUUGCUUUAGGAGAGGCAUUAGGGAAUGUGAUUCCUGUCUUGCCUUUCAGGCUGAGGAAUAAUUGCUCUACCCAAUAUGCACUCCCCUGGGAUUCUCCUGUGCGUUUCCAUUAGCUGCAGCUGUAGGACAAUCACCAGCUCCAUGGGAGCUCCAUUCCCCACCCGCUGUCACUGCAGGCACUCUGGCCUGGCCGUAUGGGACCCAGAGGUCCCUCCUGUGGGACUGUGGUCAUUUGUGCCAUGGAAACAUGAGCUCGUCCCACACAGCGCUGCGAUGUGUCCUGCUGGGAAAUUAAUCAGAGGAAACGUGAAGGCAGUGACCUCAGUGUGCGACUCAGGAUGAAUCACAGCUACUGACAGAGGCGUCUCCAUGCCACCGUGAGUUUGGCAGAAGCGAGUCCCUGUGCUCAGGGAAAUGCAGAGGGACAGCCAGUGUGGCACAGAGCUGAUCUCGGAGGUCUUUUCCAACCUGAAGGAUUCUGUGAUUCCAGUUAAGGUUUACGAAAAGCAUUUUUUGUCAUCCCCAUAAAGUGCCUCAGCUGCACAGCGCACAGCACCCUGGCAAUGGCUGUGUGCUCACUGCCUUACGAGGAGUUCUGUUGCCAUUCAAGGUGCCGUUUCACAAAGCUGAUUUCCACACUGAAAAAUGCAAAUUUCAUUUCUUGUGGAAGACAGCUAAUGAAUGCUCCUCAGCAGUUACCCUCAUUAAUAGCUCCAUAAUUCUCUAAUGAAUAUUUAUGAGUGGUUAGCUGGAAGCAAGGUACCUUGGUGUUUACGGACAGAUACUUUGUAUAGAUUGUGUUUGAAAUUAAAAUAAUGGUAAUUUUUUUGGUGAAGAGUGCAGUGAAACAGUGGAACAGAAUGCAAAUAGCCACAGGUGCAGCAUUUCUUUUCAUCGAUGGCAGCUAUGUGUUAAUCAGAGGCUCUUGCCAGGAGAGGUGUGCUUGAGGUCUCUGGGUAUCCCACAUGCAGCCCACACAGCCCUGCAGCACGGUGUUCAUAGGGCUAUAUCCUGUGUGUGUCUGACUGUGGCAAUCUCCUUAGUAGUACUGCAGUCAUAUAUCAUAAGAGCUUUGAUUCCCGUCUGCUUCUCUUCAUAUGUGCACAGACUGCAAUGGUGGCUUCUGACCAAUAGCAGGAAAAAAAAGCAAGGAAGCUUCAUGUCCUGCUUGUGCACUGACACACGUGGCAAGCUGCAGCAGAGCACAACGCACACAUCCCCGUGUCCAGCAGCACUGCACCGCGUCCCCGCUCUGUGCACAGCAGCAGCACAGUGCAGGAGCUGCUCGUCCCACUGCAGGUGUUGCCUGGCUGCUGUAGGGCUGCUCACGCUGUUGAGCUUCCUCGUAAAUCAAUAACUGCUUCACAGUCUGUUGUUAGAGAGGCAGCCAUCAUUCUUCGUAUAACCAAACCUGUGAGGAUAGCUCCAAAAUGUGAAACACCAACAAAGAGAAGCCCACCCUGCCUCUCCUCCCUGUAGGACAUACGUGCUGCCCAGGUGUUUGCAGAGAUCAGAACUUUGUGCCACCCAAAGUUGAGAUCCUGAGCCAGCGACUGGUGAGUGGGGUCUGGGCCAAAGGAAGAAUCACUGUGCAGGGCUGCAUUCGGCCUCUAGAUGGACAGACUGAACUCCCAGCCUAUGCAGUGGAAAGCUUCCCCCAUCCACACUGAGUCAGGAAAAAGGAACAGCUAUCACACUGCACUCCAGUUUUCUUGUUCCUUCUUAUUUGAGUCCAAAGAAAGCAAAUAGAGUGUUUGAGAAGAGAACCAUCAAAUACAUGGAGUGCUGCUUGGUGAAAGGCAGCAAGCAUUUCAGAACGCACACGGGACUGCACUACAGGCUGACCUGUAGAUCUGCAGCACAGCCCCAGUGGAGGGGAGCCCACCAUCCCAGCCCCGCACCCAGUCCUUCGCGCCCUGAAAUCCUCUGGCACUGGAGACCCACACCCAGGGGAGGCUGUGCAGUGGCGGUGGCUCUCACUGGGAAAUAUUUCCUCCUCGUGGCAAGAAGCAACUUUUGCUGGUGCCGUCUGUACCCGCUGCCAUGUGCCCUCUCUGUGUGGCUCCUGCUGUCGGGACUCAAGAAGAGGAGUUCAUUUGUGGCUUGGCUAAUGUGCAGAGCACGCUCUGAUUGGCUCUGCUCAAUGCUGUGCUGCUGAGCUAACACUGCAAGAGGAACUUGAUCCCUAGAAUAUUAGCAAGGUUAUUAAAGUCAGCAGUGCAAUGGGAAAAUAGGGAUUGCAUUUUAUGUGGACUGAGCUCACCUCAGCAUUUUAGAAAAAGGUGAGGCACUGCUCUGCUGAGGGCUGGGGCAGCCGUAUGCCAGUGCGAGGAGGAAAAGGAGGAGGAGAGAAAAAGGAGAAGGAGGAGGAGAGAAAGAGGAACCUCCGUGACACAGAUAAGCCCCAACGUCCCUGCCCAGCCCAUGUGCCCUUCCCUGCUCCCACACCCCCUUGCCCAAGGCCAGGGCCAGUUUCAUUCCAUCCCAGUGGUGCUGCAGGAUCCCAUCACAGCCCUUGCCUUCCGCAGCUGUGCCUGACCCAACCCAGCAAUGCCCGUGUCACAGGAGGCUGCUGCCAGGCACUGCCAGCAGCCACACCACCCAGGCACAGCAGGCAGUGCCCUGCCAAACCGUGGCCUUGCAGCCCCUGCCCUGUCCUCCAUCAGCACAGCUCAGUGUGCCCAGGCUGGCUGUGCUGCUACCGUGAUUGCUGCAAUGGGCAUCAAGGCGGGUGGGCUGCACUGUGGACAGUGGGCACUGGCUUUGCAAUGCUGGACAUUUGCCUGGUGAACCCACCUGCUCUAAUUCUCUACACCUACUUCAUGUUUCUGUAGUUUCCGUAGCUUUUUUUUUUUUUUUCACUGAAAGACUGAAUUUAUCUAAAUAUGUUUUUUGAGCCCCAGCAAUGCAUUUGUCAUGGUUCAUAGUAUCACUGCGCAGUGUCAGUUCCUCUUCAGUACAAAGGAAUCCCUCUGCAUACCUUUUCUGUGUUGGCUUUCCCCGCUCUGCAGAACUAAAGCCCUUGGAGAAUGUCAGAGAACGGCCUUGCUGCGUUGGAGACUGGCACAGCACGAGGCUCUGCACACGGAGGCCAGGUGGGCGACGUGGCUCCCUGGGUGCAGGACACUGAGGAAGCAGUAACCGAUCUGCAAAGCUGCAUCCUGGGCAUCGUGCCGCCUCACAGCAUGACACUGCGAUGCAUGGCCACCAACAUCUGCUGGGGUGGGUGAGCACAGCUCCAGAGCUCCUCGUCCUCAUCUCCUUCAAGUCUCAGACAGUGUUGCAGUGGGUGGAUUCAUUGACAGAACUGAGCCUUCUAACCAGACCCUGCCUGUUCCGUUCUGUUAAUGGCCCUGGGACGUGAGCAGGGCAGGGGCUGAGUGUUAAGGAGCCCAGCUGUGAGGCUGUGUGUGCUGCCUACCAUGAAGCUGCGCUGAGCAGUGCCAGGAGCACAGGAAACAGGCAGCUGUCGCCUGCCCAGCACGUACAGCACUGCCAUCCCUGUGAGGGGUCAGGGUGCUGCACACCCCUCAGCUCCCCAGCACUUGCUGCUGCACUGCUCGCUGCACUGCAAUAAAUGCUUACUGCAGCAGUGCUAGGGCUGAAGUGCUGCUGUCUGUGCAUCUUUCCUGCUAGAGAACAGAUCUGAAUGUGCUGACAAACUGGAAGGCCCUGGAUGGGAGGAUUCUGGCCUGUUUCCCAGCGAGUGGCUGAGUGCCCCCGUGCAGCUCCUGGGAGCAAACAGCCCGCUCACAUCGCAGCUCACAGACGCCAGGUGUCAGCUCCCCUUACCGACAGCAACCAUCACCGGAUAAAAGAUAUCCGGCAUUUCAGGGGUGCCUUCCUGAAGCGCGGGCUGGUGCUACCAGCACCUAACUCCAGCUCUCCCUGUGGCAAACUGCAGCUGCCUGAGGGUGAGGGCCCUCGCAGUGCAGCUCUCAUGAGGACUUGGGGGUGCUUUGGAGAAAAAAUCAGCAAACGGCUGUGUGUAAAUAAGGGCUCUUUUCUCCUGCUGGAUUCUGUGAAGAGAAUCAGGGAAUGACACCAGGCUGCUGGCUGUGUUUUCAAAGUGGUGCAAGGAACCCUGCUUUGCUACAUUUUCUUUUAGUAUUUCUUUUUAAGAGAUCAGAAAUCAUGUAGGUGUGGUGAAGGACAGAGAAUGGUUGGUAGAGGAUUUCAUCACUGGUGGGAAGAUCUGCAGAGGAGGAAGUCACUUCGCUGAACUCCCUGCAGCGUUUGUCCUGCACGGCCAGCCCUCGGGACGAAAGCCCACGCCAGAAUGUGCUGCCUCUGCGUUUUGGCACUGUAGGAUGCUCGAGCUGUGACUGUCGUGAAAUGCAUUCCCACCUUUUUCAGUCCCAGCAGCCCCACCGCAGCCAUGAGCUGGGCCCACUGACCGGCCCUGGUGCUGCGGGAGCUGCCAACAGCAGACACCUCCAGGAUGAGCACGGCAAGUCGCAGGGAUGUGGGCAGCCCCAGCCCCAGGUCAGAUGAGGCCACCAGGCCAGCUGCCCGCAGCCUCAGCCUCUCCUCACCCAGUGACCCCCAGAUCCCACACUGUGUUGUUCCCUUUGGGCCUGAACUUCUUGCUGCUUGUGUGCACAUGGGUGAAUCACAGCCAGGCAAACAAAGCCUGAGUCAAUUUUGCUGCAACCUGGUGCACUGAUGUGCUAAUCAUUGACCAUUAUAAAUCCUUUUUUAUGAGAUUCCAAGCCAUAACAUUUCCCGCUCUAAAAACACACUAGGAAGGUGAGGAGCUCAAAUGUAAGCGAUCUUGUUUAAUCUAGAUUUCAUGCUGCUAAUUUCCAAGAAAACUACUUGCUGUGGAUGUUAAACCAUUAAGUUGCAGCUGCAGAAUGAGAGCAGAAGAGAGCACUGAGAACCAGGUAACCCCAGUCCCGGGCAGCAACAGGAAUUUAGUGGAGCUUUUUCAAAAUAAACUGAAAUUUUUCAUGGCUGUUCCUGGGCAUUAAACACAAUCAAGAUCAGAGCUGCAGCUGCUGUUGUGCAGCUGGUAAUUGGGGUGGAUUCCGAGGAAAAGCACCAGUUAAAAACUCACGGCAUUUUAGGUGUGUCUGUGCUCUGGGAUUAUAACUCAGCAUCAUUCCAAGUCAGCGAUGGGACCAGCACACACACACACCAGGAGCAGCACCCACACACACACCAGGAGCAGCACACACACACACAC